GAUUAAUCACUAGGAACAUCCUAUGGGAAAGGACUAUGGAAUAUGAAUGGCCACAACAAAGUUUUGAUUUGUGAUUUCUACAGCAACAAUCCAACUCCGGGUUUUGCUCCGUUAAUCGUGAUAAUGAUGAUGCAUUGUCCUUCCAUAUCCCUCAGGCUGCUUUCACGUUCGAUUAUGUGGAGAAGGAACAGAAGUCCUGAAGACAUAAUGAAUCAAGUUAAUCUACGUCAGACACACCUCCCAGGGCUGUGGAACUCCUCAUGUCGACUUUCCCCUGCAGAACUCCAUUUGUCUUCUUUGUGA
rnacentral:lncRNA from 1 species